CGCACUGUAUUACUUCAACUACUUGCCUCAAACAUGUAUCCUCUCCGGUACCCAUCAACAUUCUGACACUAUUUUUAAAUUUCAAGAAUUUUCUUUCAUUCAUUUCACAAAACUUUUCGGUUCUCAAAAUUCGCAGUCUGCCUCUUUUCAAAAGUACAAAAAAAGCACUUUCAAAGUAAUCAGAAACAAGAUGUGUUCGGGUUGUAGCCCUUGCUGCAGUCCUUGCUGCUGCUCGCCAUGCGUCUGCCCGUGUAGAUAUCUAAAGCGUACGGAUUUCUGCUGUUGCUGGCCGUGUCCGUGCAAGGCUCAUUGCUAUAACUCACCACCCAAGUGUUGUUGCUGAGAGAUGAACCUUGGAGAAUCGGCAGUAGCGCUCAACGUCAUAGCAUUUUGUUUCCUUGGUGGGAAUUACGAAAUGCUUUUGGAUUAAGAGGAGUUUUAGGUUAUAAAUAAAGUAAAAUAUUCGGAAAAAAAAUAGAAAAUAUAAAAAACCUGGAAAGGAUA